GACGAACGCUGGCGGCGUGCCUAAUACAUGCAAGUCGAACGAGAGCGACCGGUGCUUGCACUGGUCAAUCUAGUGGCGAACGGGUGAGUAACACGUGGGUAACCUGCCCAUCAGAGGGGGAUAACAUCCGGAAACGGAUGCUAAAACCGCAUAGGUCUUCGAGCCGCAUGGCUUGAAGAGGAAAAGAGGCGCAAGCUUCUGCUGAUGGAUGGACCCGCGGUGCAUUAGCUAGUUGGUGAGGUAACGGCUCACCAAGGCCGUGAUGCAUAGCCGACCUGAGAGGGGGAUCGGCCACAUUGGGACUGAGACACGGCCCAAACUCCUACGGGAGGCAGCAGUAGGGAAUCUUCCGCAAUGGACGCAAGUCUGACGGAGCAACGCCGCGUGAGUGAAGAAGGUUUUCGGAUCGUAAAACUCUGUUGUUAGAGAAGAACAAGUGCUAGAGUAACUGUUAGCGCCUUGACGGUAUCUAACCAGGAAGCCACGGCUAACUACGU
rnacentral:rRNA from 1 species